rnacentral:lncRNA from 1 species
UCCUUCCUCGCCACUCCAGUGUCUGUCUUUCCUUCACAGCCCCGGCUUCUCGAGGCCUGUCUACACUCGCUGCUUUCCUUCCUCACCUCCAAUUUCCCCUCCAACCCACUGCUUCCUGACUCGCUCUUCUCCAUCGAACGGCUCUCGCUCAGGCCUGUCGCGUCUUCCUGUGCCAUUUGCUGUUGUGCUCAGGUUCCACGAGCUGCCCAUCUCCACAGAAGAGCAGCUGGCAUUGCCCACUGGCCAUGCCGGCUGAAGAAAAGAAGACUGAGGACCCCAGGACGCCCAGCGCGAGGACCCCAGGAAGCCCAGCGCGAGGACUCCACCCACGACGCCCAGCGCGAGGACUUCACGCACAACACGUUGCAACUCUCCUGGAUUAGGCCAAAGCCAUCAUCUGGAAUCCUGCGUGGGACCCUGGACACACGGACACAAACACCUGCCCCCCAGGACCCUCCAACUGUAAAUCCCUCCACAGCCACGGGGACGCCUUGCACAUUUCCUGUGGGACAUGCUGGACCCAAGACUCUGGACCCUGGCCUCCCCUUGAGUAGAGAGACCCACCUACUGACUGAUGAACUGCACUGACCCUGGGGUCAGGCAUGUGGCCUUGAUCCCUACCCAUGGACCCUGAGACUUGGGGGGCUGGGAGAAAGGCUGUUGAGUCUUCACUGUUGAGUCUACAUCUGUGAAAUGGGCUCAGGUUCCUACCUCACAGGGCUGUUGUGAGGCAGCCUCGAUGUGCUUAGAAGCAUGGGGCCUGGUGGCUCAUGGUGCUUUCAAUAAAUUUCUUGUUUU